AGUGUAGGUGGCUCAUUAAGUCACAUGUGAAAUCCCCGGGCUUAACCUGGGAACUGCAUGUGAUACUGGUGGUGCUAGAAUAUGUGAGAGGGAAGUAGAAUUCCAGGUGUAGCGGUGAAAUGCGUAGAGAUCUGGAGGAAUACCGAUGGCGAAGGCAGCUUCCUGGCAUAAUAUUGACACUGAGAUUCGAAAGCGUGGUAGCAAACA
rnacentral:rRNA from 1 species